GUUAGCCAGAUGACCGCAGGUCACAUGUGAUGUGUGGCGUGAGGAAAGUCCGGGCUCCACAGAACAGGGUGCCGGCGAAACACCGGUGGAGGCGACUCUAAGGAAAGUGCAACAGAAAUAAACCGCCAAAAACUGAUUUUUGGCAAGGAUGGAAAGGUGGUGUAAGAGACCACCGACCCGCUGGUGACAGCGAGUGCUCUGCAAACCCCACCUGGAGCAAGAUUAAAAGAAACAAUGGGUUGUUCGUCCGUUUCUUAAAAGUAUCGCUUGAGCAUGUUGGAAACUUCAUGCCUAGAUAGAUGGUCAUCAAAUACAGAACUCGGCUUAUAGACUAACUAA
rnacentral:RNase_P_RNA from 1 species